GAGUUUGAUCCUGGCUCAGGAUGAACGCUGGCGGCGUGCUUAACACAUGCAAGUCGAACGAAGCACUUUAUUUGAUUUCCUUCGGGACUGAUUAUUUUGUGACUGAGUGGCGGACGGGUGAGUAACGCGUGGGUAACCUGCCUUGUACAGGGGGAUAACAGUUGGAAACGGCUGCUAAUACCGCAUAAGCGCACGGCAUCGCAUGAUGCAGUGUGAAAAACUCCGGUGGUAUAAGAUGGACCCGCGUUGGAUUAGCUAGUUGGUGAGGUAACGGCCCACCAAGGCGACGAUCCAUAGCCGACCUGAGAGGGUGACCGGCCACAUUGGGACUGAGACACGGCCCAGACUCCUACGGGAGGCAGCAGUGGGGAAUAUUGCACAAUGGGCGAAAGCCUGAUGCAGCGACGCCGCGUGAGCGAAGAAGUAUUUCGGUAUGUAAAGCUCUAUCAGCAGGGAAGAUAAUGACAGUACCUGACUAAGAAGCACCGGCUAACUACGUGCCAGCAGCCGCGGUAAUUC
rnacentral:rRNA from 1 species